rnacentral:tmRNA from 4 species
GGGGGCGUACUGGUUUCGACGGGGACAUGGGUGCGGGAAUAGCGGGCGGAUGGGCCUGUCAUCCGAAAAACGGGCAACUUAUAAAUUAAAGAACAACGACAACGAAGUUCUCGCCGCUGCUUGAUCAGCGGCCGUCCAACCCGGAAGGACCACGAGCCGGACUUGGGCGUGAUCUAAGUGGUGCACGUGACUGGAGUAAGCUUUGCCUCCAGCAUGCACAAUGAAGCUACCAACCCAUGAAGCAUGACGGCUUGCGUCAUGGCACGGGAAUGUAAAUAACCGUCUGCGCCCGGAGAGGUUCCCGAGGAAGUGUUUUCGGACGGGGGUUCAACUCCCCCCGCCUCCACCA